AGAACUUUCCCAUGCUGUGGGAAAUGACUCAUAACACUCUGAUUGGUUAUCCACCAAUCAGAGUGUUAUGAGUCAUUUUACACAGCGUGGGAAAA